GAUGAACGCUAGCGGGAGGCCUAACACAUGCCAGCCGAGCGGUAGAGUCUCUUCGGAGACUUGAGAGCGGCGCACGGGUGCGGAACACGUGUGCAACCUGCCUUUAUCUGGGGGAUAGCCUUUCGAAAGGAAGAUUAAUACCCCAUAAUAUACUGGAUGGCAUCAUCUGGUAUUGAAAACUCCGGUGGAUAGAGAUGGGCACGCGCAAGAUUAGAUAGUUGGUGAGGUAACGGCUCACCAAGUCAGCGAUCUUUAGGGGGCCUGAGAGGGUGAUCCCCCACACUGGUACUGAGACACGGACCAGACUCCUACGGGAGGCAGCAGUGAGGAAUAUUGGACAAUGGGUGAGAGCCUGAUCCAGCCAUCCCGCGUGAAGGACGACGGCCCUAUGGGUUGUAAACUUCUUUUGUAUAGGGAUAAACCUAGAUACGUGUAUCUAGCUGAAGGUACUAUACGAAUAAGCACCGGCUAACUCCGCG
rnacentral:rRNA from 1 species